AAAUUGAAGAGUUUGAUCAUGGCUCAGAUUGAACGCUGGCGGCAGGCCUAACACAUGCAAGUCGAACGGUAACAGGAAGCAGCUUGCUGCUUUGCUGACGAGUGGCGGACGGGUGAGUAAUGUCUGGGAAACUGCCUGAUGGAGGGGGAUAACUACUGGAAACGGUGGCUAAUACCGCAUAACGUCGCAAGACCAAAGAGGGGGACCUUCGGGCCUCUUGCCAUCAGAUGUGCCCAGAUGGGAUUAGCUUGUUGGUGAGGUAACGGCUCACCAAGGCGACGAUCCCUAGCUGGUCUGAGAGGAUGACCAGCCACACUGGAACUGAGACACGGUCCAGACUCCUACGGGAGGCAGCAGUGGGGAAUAUUGCACAAUGGGCGCAAGCCUGAUGCAGCCAUGCCGCGUGUAUGAAGAAGGCCUUCGGGUUGUAAAGUACUUUCAGCGGGGAGGAAGGUGUUGCGGUUAAUAACCGCAGCAAUUGACGUUACCCGCAGAAGAAGCACCGGCUAACUCCGUGCCAGCAG
rnacentral:rRNA from 1 species